GAGGAAAAGGAACCAACAGGGAUUGCCUCAGUAACGGCGAGUGAAGCGGCAAAAGCUCAAAUUUGAAAUCUAGUACCUUCGGUGCUCGAGUUGUAAUUUGAAGGUAGUUUUCUGGUGCUGGCCCUUGUCUAUGUUCCUUGGAACAGGACGUCAUAGAGGGUGAGAAUCCCGUCUGAUGGGGUGUCCAGUGCUUUGUAGAUUUCUACCGAAGAGUCGAGUUGUUUGGGAAUGCAGCUCUAAGUGGGUGGUAAAUUCCAUCUAAAGCUAAAUACUGGCGAGAGACCGAUAGCGAACAAGUACAGUGAUGGAAAGAUGAAAAGAACUUUGAAAAGAGAGUGAAAAAGUACGUGAAAUUGUUGAAAGGGAAGGGUAUUGGAUCAGACUUGGUGUCUUGUGAUUAUCUUCCCUUCUUGGGUUGUGCACUCGCAUUUCACUGGGCCAGCAUCGGUUCGGAUGGCAAGAUAAUGGCUUGGGAAUGUGGCACUCUUCGGAGUGUGUUAUAGCCCUUGUUGAUGUUGCCUAUCUGGACCGAGGACUGCGGCUUUUGCCUAGGAUGCUGGCGUAAUGAUUCAAUACCGCCCGUCU
rnacentral:rRNA from 1 species